GUUGAGGAAAUGGAAUGACAAGGUUAGUAUACAAGAAAAGAGUUAUCAGGGUUUUGUUAAGUCAUGGAAGGUUUGAAGAAGGCUCUUCAAGGGUGAUCAUCUUUGGGUUGCAAUUGUUGUGAAGGAAGUGUCAUUUCAACAAACUAGUGAGCAAAGAGGUUUGAAGAUCAGAGUAGCGCAGCGGAUGUUAGUGGGCUUGUUCUUAUCAGUACCCAGUGUAUGUGAAGCAUUUUUCAAGGUCAGGUGUUGACAAUUAUGUGAAAAGAGCUUCUUUAAAACAACAGGGACGUCAUUACCUAGGGCAUCAGUUAGGAGUGUUUGGUAAUUCUCAAGAGUCAGAAGUGAGUUGAGCAUGGAAGAAAUAGGUAUCAGCCAGAAAAGAUAAGUGUGGUUUCAAGCUACAGGGUCAACUUUCAAGUGAGGAAGUAUUAAUGGAUCUGGAACAGGAAGAGUGGAUCGGUGGACGAAGGAGAUGACUCGAGCUAUGGUUUCGAGUUGUAGUGUUAACCUUGAGGUAAGGAAGUGUUAACUGAUGGUUUGAAUUAAAGAGAAGAUUCAGGUUCUUGAUUUGAUAAGGAUUGAGUAAGAGUUGGUUGAAGGAUAUGAAGUUUGGGAUCUUUAGUGAAGUUGUAAAGUGAUUUCAUUAGUAUAGUUGAAAUACUAUAACUAAUGGGUUUCUCAAGAUGGUUAAGAAAGCA
rnacentral:lncRNA from 1 species